UGAGGGCCUGUCUCUGUCUCCUAGGUAACCAGGAGAGACUGAGGGCCUGUCUCUGUCUCCUAGGUAACCAGGAAAGACUGAGGGCCUGUCUCUGUCUCCUAGGUAACCAGGAGUGACUGAGGGCCUGUCUCUGUCUCCUAGGUAACCAGGAGAGACUGAGGGCCUGUCUCUGUCUCCUAGGUAAUCAGGAGAGACUGAGGGCCUGUCUCUGUCUCCUAGGUAACCAGGAGAGACUGAGGGCCUGUCUCUGUCUCCUAGGUAACCAGGAGAGACUGAGGGCCUGUCUCUGUCUCCUAGGUAACCAGGAGAGACUGAGGGGGUUUAGUGAAUGUAAUGUAGCAGUGUUCACGUCAUUGACGUCGCAAUCAUGCUGUCCAUCAAGUCCUCCUUCCGAUGAAUGCCCUAACCUCGGGGGGACCUGGACGCUGAUUUUGAUUGAUUGACAAGUCACUAUGAACCGUCCUUCUGAUCUGAGCGAGAAGUGUGUGUGUUGUGUGUGAAACGUUAAUAUGUUCUGUGUGCGUUCGUGCCGGUCUGUCUCCCGUGACGUUGCAUGUUGUCCACGGAACCACAGUACUACUACAGUUGCUUAGGAACGUUGCCAUUUUAAAAAGACCAGAUUGGUGCCCAUUCAACACAUCUAAUCUAACGAAAGAGGAUCAUUUGUCAUAUCUGUCAUGAUUUAUGUUUUGUAACAAACCCACAUGUAGUUACUUAAGUCCCGAUAUAUUGGACUGUUUUCCCUGCGUAACAUGUAGAAGUUGUCCCUUUUUCAGGUUUAGAAGAAGAGGUGACCGCUAAAUGCUAACUCCCAUCCGUAUAAGCUGGUAGCAUAGCUAGCAUACAGAAAUCGUUGAUGGUAGUCAUGUCGUUUAAAAAAAAAACUAAUGCACUUGAUUGGUGACGAUGAGUUGAUAACGUCCACACAAGCAUUAUACCUGAACAUCGUGUGAAAUAGACAAUAGCGUAACUGUAGGCUAAUUUAGCUUUGGGGUAGGGGGGACAAUGAGAAAGCUUGGGGAUCUUAACCCCGACGCGUUUCCAUGGCAACGGCGUUCCCAUUGUUUUGUUCAGUUGGAUUUAGCUCGUUACUGCAUCUGUAACCAACGACGUGUAUAUAAACUCUGGACUGCUGAUGCUUUGUUUUGGCCAUUUAGAGGCUUUAAGCCACCGGUCGGCCAUUUUGACAGUCCUCCAUAGGAUGGAAUGGAAUUCUACAGCAUUUCAAUUAAAGGUUUCGAGGACCAAAUUACAUGUAUUUCAGUAUUUGUCGUUGUUGUAGUUUGGGACAGUAACAUUAGUAGUUUUAAGGGGGGGGGGGCGUUUAUUUUUUUUAGUGUAGCUCACAUGUGUAAAAUUAUACAUUUAAGGUGUAUAAUGGAAUAAACGUGUCAGAAAUGAA